ensembl:lncRNA
CUGGCGAGCAAAGGGAAUCUCUCCCGGUUGUUGCUCCACCAUGUCAGGGGGGUUUCUUUAGGGUGGAUGCAUUCCUCCUGCAGGUAGCGAGUGAGCUCCAGCUCGGCUCAAACUCUCUUCGGGACGGUUGCAGAAGCAGUGCUUGUCCGGGACUUCAGCAGGUCUCCGAGCGUUUAUUAUUAUUUUUUUGCCGCUGGUGGCAGCUCUGUCUCGGCCAAGGACUCUGGCUGCGCAGCAGCUGACGUACUGAAAACCAAAGUGCUCCCAAAGGAGCGAAGUAACGUUUCGUUUUGAUACCAGUGCAGCCAUCCUUCUCAACAUGCAUCAUUGAGUUGAAUCAAGUUCAGUAAUCGCGGUGGCCCAUGAUGCAGCGCGGUGGGCUUCUUCAUAUUGCGAUAUUUCAUUUUUGCGGUUACCGUGACAGCCCUAUUCCCACCCCUAAUUCGGACUGUAGGAACCUUUUGUAGUUCCUAGAACCUUUUCAGAAACCAGCCCCCUUUGGCGCGCGUUCGACUGAUAGGAACUAGGAACUAUUGCUGGUAGUUCCUGGAACAAUUUCAGCUCCUACUCUGAGGCUGGGACUUUCUGUGGUUCCCGAGGAACUAACGUGACGUCGGCGCUUGGUGACCUACGCCCUUUGCUUGAUUUCCGCAUCUUUUCUGUUCCGAAUCGUGUUUGUUUAUUUAGGAACAGACUGGACUGCGUCCCGGAUACUCCUGCUGCUGCCAGCACUCCUCGCCAAAACUGAACAGCUGCUACACCAGAGCCAGCGUCUGCAGAGGCAUCAGCUUGUUCCAGCCAGCUGCUGGCAGCCUCUGCCCCCCUACACCAGCACCUACACUGCACCUACAACCUACUAACUACCAGCAGCCCUGCCACCCCAGACCUGGACGGAGAAAAAGGGCUGGUACACUUCAGCCUACUGAGCAUGAGAUGCUCGGGUCAGAGGCUGAGCAGGAGGCAGAUGAAUGAACGGUUUAAUACCAUGAUGUGGUUCUUCUGUGGGCUGACAGAGAGGGAGUCUAAAGCAGAUCCUCCACCAGCAGAAGCUCAUGGAGGGUCUCUUGUAUGCAGUGAACAUGUUAGCAGAUAAAAAGAAGUGAACUUAUGACUUCACGUGCACAAAGCAUAUCACGCACAUAUGAACAGUUAUUUUUACACUGAAAUACUUGAGUUUGUAGCAGAUAUGUUUUAAUAAAUGACUUGAAGAGUCAGAAGUAUUCUUUGUCUCUGAGUGAUGUCAGCUAGAUGUAGUUUGGCCACUAAAUAUUAAACUUUUUGUCUACGUUAAGCCUUUCUUAUCCUCUGGUGUGUAAUCUACUCCAGUUACUCAGGUGUGUAAUCUACUCCAGUUACUCAGGUGUGUAAUCUACUCCAGUUACUCAGGUGUGUAAUCUACUCCAGUUACUCAGGCGUGUAAUCUACUCCAGUUACUCAGGCGUGUAAUCUACUCCAGUUACUCGGGCGUGUAAUCUACUCCAGUUACUCGGGCGUGUAAUCUACUCCAGUUACUCGGGCGUGUAAUCUACUCCAGUUACUCGGGCGUGUAAUCUACUCCAGUUACUCGGGCGUGUAAUCUACUCCAGUUACUCGGGCGUGUAAUCUACUCCAGUUACUCGGGCGUGUAAUCUACUCCAGUUACUCGGGCGUGUAAUCUACUCCAGUUACUC